AAAUUGAAGAGUUUGAUCAUGGCUCAGAUUGAACGCUGGCGGCAGGCCUAACACAUGCAAGUCGAGCGGAAACGAGUUAUCUGAACCUUCGGGGAACGAUAACGGCGUCGAGCGGCGGACGGGUGAGUAAUGCCUAGGACUAGUUGGUGAGGUAAGGGCUCACCAAGGCGACGAUCCCUAGCUGGUCUGAGAGGAUGAUCAGCCACACUGGAACUGAGACACGGUCCAGACUCCUACGGGAGGCAGCAGUGGGGAAUAUUGCACAAUGGGCGCAAGCCUGAUGCAGCCAUGCCGCGUGUGUGAAGAAGGCCUUCGGGUUGUAAAGCACUUUCAGUCGUGAGGAAGGURGUGUAGUUAAUAGCUGCRUUAUUUGACGUUAGCGACAGAAGAAGCACCGGCUAACUCCGUGCCAGCAGCCGCGGUAAUACGGAGGGUGCGAGCGUUAAUCGGAAUUACUGGGCGUAAAGCGCAUGCAGGUGGUUUGUUAAGUCAGAUGUGAAAGCCCGGGGCUCAACCUCGGAAUUGCAUUUGAAACUGGCAGACUAGAGUACUGUAGAGGGGGGUAGAAUUUCAGGUGUAGCGGUGAAAUGCGUAGAGAUCUGAAGGAAUACCGGUGGCGAAGGCGGCCCCCUGGACAGAUACUGACACUCAGAUGCGAAAGCGUGGGGAGCAAACAGGAUUAGAUACCCUGGUAGUCCACGCCGUAAACGAUGUCUACUUGGAGGUUGUGGCCUUGAGCCGUGGCUUUCGGAGCUAACGCGUUAAGUAGACCGCCUGGGGAGUACGGUCGCAAGAUUAAAACUCAAAUGAAUUGACGGGGGCCCGCACAAGCGGUGGAGCAUGUGGUUUAAUUCGAUGCAACGCGAAGAACCUUACCUACUCUUGACAUCCAGAGAACUUUCCAGAGAUGGAUUGGUGCCUUCGGGAACUCUGAGACAGGUGCUGCAUGGCUGUCGUCAGCUCGUGUUGUGAAAUGUUGGGUUAAGUCCCGCAACGAGCGCAACCCUUAUCCUUGUUUGCCAGCGAGUAAUGUCGGGAACUCCAGGGAGACUGCCGGUGAUAAACCGGAGGAAGGUGGGGACGACGUCAAGUCAUCAUGGCCCUUACGAGUAGGGCUACACACGUGCUACAAUGGCGCAUACAGAGGGCAGCCAACUUGCGAAAGUGAGCGAAUCCCAAAAAGUGCGUCGUAGUCCGGAUUGGAGUCUGCAACUCGACUCCAUGAAGUCGGAAUCGCUAGUAAUCGUGGAUCAGAAUGCCACGGUGAAUACGUUCCCGGGCCUUGUACACACCGCCCGUCACACCAUGGGAGUGGGCUGCAAAAGAAGUAGGUAGUUUAACCUUCGGGGGGACGCUUACCACUUUGUGGUUCAUGACUGGGGUGAAGUCGUAACAAGGUAGCGCUAGGGGAACCUGGCGCUGGAUCACCUCCUUA
rnacentral:rRNA from 1 species